UUCACGAAGAGUUUGAUCCUGGCUCAGAGUGAACGCUAGCGGUGCGCCUAACACAUGCAAGUCGAGUGGGUUUAGACCCACGGCGAACGGCUGAGUAACACGUUGG
rnacentral:rRNA from 1 species